UACAGAGGGGGCAAGCGUUAUUCGGAAUUAUUGGGCGUAAAGGGCGCGUAGGCGGCCAUUCAAGUGACGGGUGAAAGCCCUCGGCUUAACCGAGGAACUGCCUGUCAGACUGGAUGGCUUGAGACCGGGAGAGGUGAGUGGAAUUCCCAGUGUAGCGGUGAAAUGCGCAGAUAUCAGGAAGAACACCCGUGGCGAAGGCGGCUCUCUGGGACGGUACUGACGCUGAGACGCGAAAGCGUGGGGAGCGAACAGG
rnacentral:rRNA from 1 species